UCCCUGGCGGUCCAGUGGUUAAGACUCUGCACUCUCAAUGCAGGCAUCCUGGGUUCAAUCUCUGGUCAGGGAA
rnacentral:tRNA from 1 species